rnacentral:misc_RNA from 1 species
AACGCACAUUGCGCCCCUCGGUAUUCCGGGGGGCAUGCCUGUUCGAGCGUCAUUACACCCCUCAAGCGUAGCUUGGUAUUGGGCCCUCGCCCCAGCGGCAUGCCCGAAAAACAGUGGCGGUCCGGUGAGACUUUAAGCGUAGUAAAUUUUCAUCCCGCUUUGAAAGAUCCCUCCGCGGCCUGCCAGACAACCUCUAUAUUUCCAUCAUUGACCUCGGAUCAGGUAGGGAUACCCGCUGAACUUAA